AAGUCCCUAACCAACCCACCUCGAUGAAGACAAGGCCGGGGUCCCUCCCAACAGCAGCACUCAGCUCCCCCUCAUCAGGGGUGAGGAGCUGCGCUAACUUCUGCAUCCUAGACCACAGCACCCGGCCCCUGCCCCGCCAGAUUUCCUGGGCACCCCCCCACCAGGACUCAGUGGGGCAGGCCAGUCCACAGCGACAUCACCCUGAGGGCCACCGCCACCCCAGUAACCUGCCAUGCUCCCGAAGGGAGACACACGGCCAGAAGGAGCGGCUGCCAGGAAAACUCUGCCUGGAUAAGGAAACGGGGAGAAGGCGAUCACGAGGCGCCUGCUUUGUGGCUCCAUCUAGAUGGCUCAGCACAAGCAGCAGAUUCACCUCGCUUUAAGAGCAGAUGGGGCAGAGCUGGCGGGAGAUGAAGGCAUUAUCCGUGCCUGGGCAGAAGGGACGGAUUCCAGGGACGGAGCACAGAAGCAAAGGGUUCGGAGCCAGGAAGAUCCUUCAAACGGCAGAGCCUCUGAGCGCGGCGGGUUUCAGCCCUUCCGCCCGGACUACCCACGCAGCCGGGCCGCGAGGCCGUGGGCCUGCCGGAGGGCACAGCGGCCCGGCCCGCCCGCUCCUGUUACGGAGGUGGACACGGCGGCAGCACGCAGACACAGAUCUGCCCCAAAGCAGGGCUAACUUUGCCUCUCACCGAUAGGGGCCGCUUUGGGGGGUCUGUUCUCUCUGUGGCCUCUUCCAGGAAAAACAGGUACAUCUGUGGACUGAAUUCCCUCAAUGGGGGUUGGGUUGGACCCUACAAGACCUCAUCUUGCUGCCCAAAGCAAAAAAGGGUCCAAAGGAAGGUAAAGGGGCCACUCCUACAACAAGGUGCGCCCUAGACACCCCCCAACUGCGAGUCUGCCUGUUGCCCAGGGAAAACCGAAGUGGGGGAGCAAAGGUCACUGGUCUGAGAGGACCACAGGAAGAGAACAUCCACCAUCUACUUCUCUGUCACCAUGUCCCCCUUGUGAAGGAACUGGAUGAGCCUUCUGCAGUCUUGACUGGAAAAAAAAAAAAAAAAAAGCUCUGGGAGGAAAACAAAAAUGAAAAUAAGAGUGACAUCAUGGGGGAAUCGUGUGGGAACGCUGGCUGUGCCUUCUGAUAGUUAUGCGACCUUGGGCACGUUGCUCAACAGCUCUGGGCCGUGGAUCCGCACAUCUGAAGUGGAAAAGGCUCAUGCCGCCUACCUCCCACCACAGCAGGCCACCCUGUGGUUAUACAUCAGGAAAGAAAGCCAGGGAGCAAAAUGUUAAAAAUUGGUAAACCCCAAAUUGGUAAAGGUGAUAGGAGAGUUCUUUUUUUUUUUUUAAAGACUUUACUUAUUUGGGGGAGAGAGCAAGGGGGGGAAACAGAGGAGGAGGGAGGAGAAGCAGACUCCGCACUGAGUGUGGCUCGAUCCCAUGAUCCCAAGAUCACAACCAGAGCCAAACCCAAGAGUCCGACACUCAUACGACCGAGCCACCCAGGCGCCCCGAUAGGAGAGUUCUCUAUAUUAUUCUUGAAACUUUUCUAUAAGUUUCAAAUCAUUUCAUGAAAAUGAAAUCCACAGUAAUUUCCUUAGGGGGGGCUGAAAUGGGGAGGAUGAGAAAUUUUAACUAUCUUUGUAUGGCUGCAUUUUUAAAGAUGAGUGUAUGUGUUGCUAUUGUGUUGUGUUUUGUUUUUUAACUACAACAAGAAUGUAAAGGACAAUAGGUAGAUGAGGAUCUGCAGGAGGCACAGAAAAGAGAGUAAUAGUUAAUGCUCUCCUGCCCGCACCUGCUCGUCCCCUCCCUUAGGGCUGGGCGAGCACGUGGAUGGCCAUGCCCUGGUCACAUGCAAGCUCCCAGAGGGCAGCAGGCUGACUCUGUCUUGCUCUUGAGCCCUCUUCCUCCAUGGCCUUGAACCGCACUCUGCACUUGAUGAUCCUCCAAUACCUGUGUCCGACUGACCAUGCGGAGUGAGAGGCUGGAACAGGUGCGUGGGCAGAGCCACCAAGGACGGACAUUUUCAUCAGCCUGGCUUGGCUUAACUGUGUCCUUCUGGUGCGAGGAGCUCGGGUUUCCGGGAUGUGGCCAAGAGACGCCGAUCUGCCAGUGGCCGCAGUGCUGAGGCCUCUCAGGGCUAUGGGCCCAAGGGGUUAAUGUUUGGGUAUUUGUUCCUGUCCCACAGUCCCCUCUCUAAAUGCCCAGCCCUAAUCCCAGAGCUUAGCAAGGGUGGAAUUCCAGAACACCUCAGUUCCGGACCUUGUUUGGUAGGAGGUCGGGGGCCGAAACUAUGGGAGAGAUUCCGAGGGGCAGCAGGAGAGGCUGGGAGAGACAUUUGGGGGCAAACCUGAGAAGUCUGCCACCAGCGCUGCCUUUUCUGUCACCACAGCCAGGAAGACAUGGCCACCGGAGCCCGUCGUCUUCUCACGGCCUCUGCUGUAAGCACUGGUGACACUGAUGUAUUAAAAAAUAAAGAAGGCUGUUUGCUUCCAUGAGUUACCCUGACCCUGCGGCGAUGUGUCUCGCAUAACACCCACGGUGGCUGGACACAGUGAGAAGGGAGACAUCUGCAAGCCAGGAAGAGAGCUCACCAGAUUCUGACCAUGCUGGAACUUGAUCUUGGCCUUUCCAACCCCCAGGCUGUGAGAAAACAAAUCGUAUCAUUGAAGCCACCCAGCCUGUGGUUUUUGCUAUGGCAGCCCAAGCAAACGAAGACAAAAGCCCUCAUCACAAAGCCUUCGAAACCAAGGUGACAACUGUCCAUUGAACUGAACCAAUGGGUACAUGCCACAAAAUGCUCCCUGAGGAACCAGAAACAGAACACAGCCAACUCAAGUUCCAGACAAAAAUCACUCUUAAGUAAUAAUUACCUCUUUGCUGGGCCAUAGCUUUUACACAGAUUCUAAGGAUACCAUGUUUUUUCUCUGUUAUGUGCCUCACAUACAGGGUAUGCAUUCAGCAAGUGAAGAAUAAAAGGCCGUUUCCAUUUCUGAUCCCACCCUCUGCCAACCAUACCAGGCACACAUCUGCUAGAAUAAAUGGUUGCUAUAGAAAUCACCAUUUUUGGAACAGGCAAACCCAGAGUCUAUGAAGAACGCAGCCAUCUCCGUACUCAGUGAAAUCUGGGGGCCUGGGGCUCGGGAAGCGUCUUAGCCAACAGCCAGUAGCUUGUAACCAAACUGACCUAAGACAGGGACAUGAUACCUCACAUCUCAGAGAAUCUAUCUUGACAGUCAAAAGUGAAGAGUUGCCAACAGAAGCUGAGGUUACACUAGAGGACCCUCCCUUGAGAGUAGAGUCACAGUUUGGAGACAUCUGUGAAAUUCUAUAAAACUGGCACUGUAGGGAUCCCUGGGUGGCGCAGUGGUUUAGCGCCUGCCUUUGGCCCAGGGCGCGAUCCUGGAGACCCGGGAUCGAAUCCCACGUCGGGCUCCCGGUGCAUGGAGCCUGCU